rnacentral:rRNA from 1 species
CAGUCGCCGCGGUAAUACGUAGGUGGCAAGCGUUGUCCGGAAUUAUUGGGCGUAAAGCGCGCGCAGGCGGUUUUUUAAGUCUGAUGUGAAAGCCCCCGGCUCAACCGGGGAGGGUCAUUGGAAACUGGGAAACUUGAGUGCAGAAGAGGAGAGUGGAAUUCCAUGUGUAGCGGUGAAAUGCGUAGAGAUGUGGAGGAACACCAGUGGCGAAGGCGACUCUCUGGUCUGUAACUGACGCUGAGUAGCGAAAGCGUGGGGAGCGAACAGGAUUAGAUACCCGCGUAGUCCCUGUCUCUUAUAC